AGUGAACGCUGGCGGUAGGCCUAACACAUGCAAGUCGAACGGCAGCACAGUAAGAGCUUGCUCUUACGGGUGGCGAGUGGCGGACGGGUGAGGAAUACAUCGGAAUCUACUUUUUCGUGGGGGGUAACGUAGGGAAACUUACGCUAAUACCGCAUACGACCUACGGGUGAAAGCAGGGGAUCUUCGGACCUUGCGCGAUUGAAUGAGCCGAUGUCGGAUUAGCUAGUUGGCGGGGUAAAGGCCCACCAAGGCGACGAUCCGUAGCUGGUCUGAGAGGAUGAGCAGCCACACUGGAACUGAGACACGGUCCAGACUCCUACGGGAGGCAGCAGUGGGGAAUAUUGGACAAUGGGCGCAAGCCUGAUCCAGCCAUACCGAGUGGGUGAAGAAGGCCUUCGGGUUGUAAAGCCCUUUUGUUGGGAAAGAAAAGCAGCAGGUUAAUACCCCGCUGUUCUGACGGUACCCAAAGAAUAAGCACCGGCUAACUUCGUG
rnacentral:rRNA from 1 species